rnacentral:piRNA from 1 species
UGGUCUUUGAAGUUGACAGCUCUCUGGU